rnacentral:rRNA from 1 species
AUGGAUCUGUCUAAGUUUGAGCUGAAUGACACACCUCAUAUGCUUGAAUCAGCCGACAUGGUUGAGGAGCAUGCCGGCAAGGUGAGCAGCAGUGAGCUUGGGUGUACAAGCACGGAUCUGGCUAAUUUUGAGACCCUGACGCUGAACGAUACACCUCACACACUUGAAUCAGCCGACAGGGUGGUAAUGCAUGCUGACGCAGUCGAUGGUGCCAUUCUUGAUUCCACACUUGCGGAGCCACCAGCGCACGAGAAAGAAAAACCAAGGCGGGAGAUACCACGAAAAUAUUGGCCACCCAAAUAUGAAGGUGAUAUAAAAUUUGCAGAAGAACAAGCUCGAAAACAAGCUGAAUCAAUUCAAGAACGAGGACAUUAUACUUCUUCUAAGGAAGAACUUGCUCAAAAUGCGAAUAGAUGGAUGACCGAGGAGGCGAUGGUGGCUUUCAGAAAAUACAUCGAGAGUGAAGAUGAUCUUAAGGGAGUUGAGUAUGAAUUUGAUGAACUUCUCCAUCAAUGUUUUAAUGUGGAGCAUUAUUUAAAGACAUGUCAUCACUUCACCUUUACUGUCAAGAUAAAGAAGCAUGGCUCAGCCGAUUGGACAUCAGUGAUGUACUUCACUGAGGUCCGCGGAAUAUUUAUGAUAAAGGAUUAUUUCUGUUAUCCUUUAGACCCGGAUGAAAAUGGUCAAUGUUAUGCAUGUCAGAACCAAGGAAUGCAUGAGUUAAGGCACCCAUCAGUAGGGAUAUUUGACUGCGGCAAGGAAGAUGCAUCAUUUCCCUACUAUUGUGAGGAAAGUGACUCUGAUGAAUAUCAUCCAAAAAUGGAAUGGAGUGAAUCUGAUGAUGAUAUGAGUUGA